AGAUGUGAUGGGUGAUCUAGAUGCAACAUCUGUCACCCUAUUGAUGCCAGCAUCUGACUGGCUAGGUAGAUGAUCCCUUCCUCCUUUAUGUGUGUGCCUCCGGAAGCUGCAUGCUAGCCCUGUCCAGUCUGGUCAAGGAUAUACGAGCAGCUGUGUGCCCCUACUGGACCCUCCAACCCUGCUCUCAAGGUCCAUUUGUUGUCAGUUUUUAAAUUACAUAGUACGAGUCUUCCACUAUUGUCUUUCUUGAGAUUAUUUCAGAUUUU
rnacentral:snRNA from 1 species